GGCUGGUCCAAGUGCAGUGGUGUUUACAACUAAUAGAUUACAACUAGUUACAAGUUUCUGUGUUCUUUCUCCUUUCCUACUGCUUCACUUGACUGGUCUAAA
rnacentral:Y_RNA from 1 species